rnacentral:rRNA from 1 species
GACGAACGCUGGCGGCGUGCCUAACACAUGCAAGUCGAACGGGGUUAAGACUUCGGUUUUAACUUAGUGGCGAACGGGUGAGUAACGCGUGAGAAACCUGCCUUUCAGUGGGGGACAACAGUUGGAAGCGACUGCUAAUACCGCAUAAUGUUAUUUGGGGGCAUCCCUGAAUAACCAAAGAUUUAUUGCUGAAAGAUGGUCUCGCGUCUGAUUAGCUAGUUGGUGAGGUAACGGCUCACCAAGGCGACGAUCAGUAGCCGGUCUGAGAGGAUGAACGGCCACAUUGGGACUGAGAUACGGCCCAGACUCCUACGGGAGGCAGCAGUGGGGAAUAUUGGGCAAUGUGGGAAACCCUGACCCAGCAACGCCGCGUGAAGGAAGAAGGCCUUCGGGUUGUAAACUUCUUUUACCAGGGACGAACAAAUGACGGUACCUGGAGAAAAAGCAACGGCUAACUACGUGCCAGCAGCCGCCGUAAAAC